GUCAUGUGCAUUCAGUCAAUCAUCAUUUUGACAAGAUCAAUAGGCCUACUGGAUAUUGCUGCUGAGAGGAGCAACUCCUGCAGCGAAAAAUGCGAGUGUCAUCACUUUCAUGGGAAGGCAUGGUGACAGAAGGUGGGAAUCUGGAUCUGACGGCCGGGCCUGCCUCACUGCCACAACACAGCGUGAAGCAUCCUUGUUAGGUGCCUGAACUGCUCCUGCUCGGCUUCCCCCGUGCCCACAAUUGAGGAAGAGAGGAAUCUGUUAGUGCCUGAUCCAACGAGCCACAUCUGCCAAGAGAGACAGUGCAAAGCAAGACAGUUGGUGUCUUACCAGACUGGGCGGUUCUAUAUGCCCUCACCCACAGCUCCCUUGUGUGUCUGCCAUGACUCUGCAUGUGUUUGACUAUGCAUCUGCAAAAAAAAAAGGAAAAAAGGUGAAACUAGCCAGGGUUGUCUCAUAUGCCAGAGGCCCUGACACACUGCACUACUGUGCAGAGA